rnacentral:siRNA from 1 species
GAAAAAUGCAACCGGUCAAAACAG